AGGAGCCAGCUACAUCAACCCAUCAGGCCAGAGGCAAAGGGAAUAGAACCAGGGUCUCUGAGUACCAGACAGGCAGAUAGCUCCCUGAAGGACAUGGCUGGACAGAGAAAGUAGCAUCUAAGUGACAGACCCUGGAGCAUAUAAGCAGGGACCUGGAUAAAGAAACCAGGAGGGCAAAGCGCUUUUCCCCCAGAGCCUAGGUGGUAGCCUUGGAUGGGUGGGCCUUCCUACAGCUCCAAGUGGUCCCACAGCCUUUUCUUUUUCCCCUACUGCUUUUCCUAGCAAUUUAGACUUAAUUUAGAUUUGACUUCAGGGUGGAGGUGCCCAUGGGAGAUUCACCUGAAGUGGGACUAUCCUUGCCCCUGCCUGGGGUCAUUGGGCAGCCAAGCAUCUAGAGGAUGUUUCCUAGGGAGCUGGAAGCUGGGAAGAGCAGGAGAAGAAAAGUGUUGAGGGGAAGUCAAAGAUGCAGCCAGUUGAGAGGGUCAGGAUUUGCUCAGAAACCCCAUGACAGGCACAUGGUGACUCACUGGAGCCGAUUCCUCAGUGGUUUCAGAGGAUGGGGAAGGGGUGGCCAGAGAAGUAGGAAGCUGUCCCCAGUCAGUGGCCAUAAGGGAUCUUCUUUAUCAUGAAGAAUGGGAGAGCUGAGAGGGCUCCUAGAACACAGAGCUGGAAGAAGACUGCAGGCAUCUAUUGAUAGGGUGACAGGGCCAGAAAUUCUGGGGAGAAUACCUGUGCCAGAAGGGUCCUCCAGAUGAUCAGGGACCAGUGGCCUCAUUCUGCAGAUUGGGAAACAGGCCAGAGAGUUCCUCUCUGCCAGACCAUCAGCCAGCCAGUAUUCAUUAAGUGCCUCGAAUGUGCCAGAUGGUGCUAGGGCUGGGGCUAAAACACCAAAGGGAGAUAGUCCCAAAGGACUAGCUCCAUGAGGAGCUGCCACUCUACUGGGGGAUAGAACAUGUUCACUGCACACAAGUCAAUCUAGCCCGUAGGAGACCGGCACCCCAGUGGAUGUCUGCAUUCAUUGGCACAGGAAAGUCUGCUGAGCAGUGUCCCUCUACCAGGGAAAGUUGGUACUUUCUCUACUACUUACCAUCUUAGAGAGUGUCUCAGGCACUGAGACCCAGUGACUUGCCCAAGACUACUUAGCCACUAGGUGCUUAGGACAGGACCCAGGUCUUCCUGGCUUCAUGGGAGCCUUUGCAUGUGGGACAGAUGGACAGAUAGAGUAUAUAUGGAUAUGUCUAUUGAUAGCUAUAUAAAAUGUAUGUAUGUGCAUGUAUGUCUAUAUGAAUAUAUCUAGAAUAUCAACAACAUAUUGAUGGGGGCAGGGGGAGGACAUUGACAAAGAGGUCUCUUAAAGGAGGUGUCACUGAGCUGAACCUUAAAGGAAGCUAGGUGUUCCAAGACAGAGGUAGGGAGGUAGAACAUUCCAGGUAUCAAGGGCAGCCUGUGCUAGGACCUGGAGGUGGGAGAUGGAGUCUCCUGUUCUAGAAAGAGCAGUUGGCUGAAGUAUAGAAUGAGUGAUAGGAAGUCAUGUGUAAUGAGUCUGGAAAGAGAGGCUGUGUAGCCAGAAUCUGAUGGGCAUUCAGUGCCAAAGAAAGGAGUUGGUAUUAUUUUUUUCACAACAGCAGAGGAAGGCCAGUGAAACUUCUUGGGGAAAAUCACUCUGGCAGCUGUGUGCAGGAUGAAUUGGAGAGAGGAGAGGCUGGAGGCAAGGCCAGACCCUGCAAUAGUCUGUGUAACGGACAACGUGAGGAGACUUGGCUGCUGUUGGCUCUCAGGAUCCCGUAGUGGGCGGGGAGCUCGGUGCAGCUUGGCCUCAGGAGCCUGUCACACUGUACUCAGGUGCCCUGACCUGCCCCCCCUGCAGACAAAAACAGAAUGCGUUACCUUGUGGAGAUCUCAGCCCGUCUCUCCUGUCACUGUGAAACUCUUCUAUGAGGCCCUGUGCCCUGCCACUCCUUCACGUCAGUGGUGCCCUUCCCUACCUGGGCUUUGCUGGGCAGUGACAUCUCGGAUGUAGUCCUUGUGCCUUUUGGCAAUGCUGAGGAGAGACUUGUGAAUGGGAACUGGGAGUUUACCUGUCAACAUGGGGAGCUGGAGUGUGAACUCAACAUGGUUUAGACCUGUUUGACCCAAAUCAUUGGAAAACAGUUUGGCACUGCCUUUGCUGUGAUCAACUAUAUGUCAGCUGCUCAUCCAGAGACCUGACUAGAGCCAUGUCUGAAGGUCUAUGCCCCCAAAACUUCUGUGGCUGAAGUCAUGAAAUGUGCAAGAGGACCUCAAGGCAAAGAGAUGAUGCAUCAGAAUGC